rnacentral:lncRNA from 1 species
AGAUGACUAGCUAAUCACCUCCAAGGUGUUGGCCUCUUUAGAGAGAAAAUGGAGAGACAAUUCUCACCAAUUUUCCCCAAAAAUAAACCCUUAUUUCACUUAAUGAAUAUUUGGCUAUAAAGUCAUUUAUAUAGUCACUUCUUUAAGUGACCUAAACAACCAAAAACCCUAAUUCAUUCCUUAUGGCCGGCCAUUUAGGGAUUUUUGG